rnacentral:rRNA from 1 species
AUUGAACGCUGGCGGCAGGCUUAACACAUGCAAGUCGAGCGGGGAAGGGUAGCUUGCUACCUAACCUAGCGGCGGACGGGUGAGUAAUGCUUAGGAAUCUGCCUAUUAGUGGGGGACAACAUUCCGAAAGGAAUGCUAAUACCGCAUACGCCCUACGGGGGAAAGCAGGGGAUCUUCGGACCUUGCGCUAAUAGAUGAGCCUCAGUCAGAUUAGCUAGUUGGGGGGGUAAAGGCCUACCAAGGCGACGAUCUGUAGCGGGUCUGAGAGGAUGAUCCGCCACACUGGGACUGAGACACGGCCCAGACUCCUACGGGAGGCAGCAGUGGGGAAUAUUGGACAAUGGGCGAAAGCCUGAUCCAGCCAUGCCGCGUGUGUGAAGAAGGCCUUUUGGUUGUAAAGCACUUUAAGCGAGGAGGAGGCUACUGAGAUUAAUACUCUUGGAUAGUGGACGUUACUCGCAGAAUAAGCACCGGCUAACUCUGUGCCAGCAGCCGCCGUAAUAC